GUUGAUCUACUCUGAGAUAGAAAACUCUGAGUUUUCGGUUUCACAACGGCUGAUUUGAGUUGGUUUAAUUAACUCGGAGUAGUUUGACCCGGAGUUACGCGCGUGCACCGCAAGUCUGAAAAGACAGCAUCAAUGGAACCCCGAUUCGACGAGUCACCAUGGAAACGGGGAAGCGAAAGGCUGCGUUUUUGAACUGGAAGUUUUUAACGCGCUCAUAUGGCGAGUUUGAACACGUUUUUAGAAAGAAGUGCAACACCGCUGCAGCUGCAAAAGAGAGAGAGACGGCGUGGAGAACAGCCCGGAUCAAUGCGAUGAAGAGGAUGAAACUGUGUCUGCUGCCUUUACAGAGGGGGAUCCAGAAAGGCAUACAGAGCUAUGUUACUGAUAGUUCUCUUCCCAUUCACAUUUUGGGUGGAAUAUAGAGUGUGACAUUUAGCCUACACUGAAGUAUUGCACAUUCUCAUCCUUUUUAACAGAGCAUGGCUGGACAGCAGCAGGAUGGUUCCUCAGCUUCCGCUGCACAGACUGACACAGUGAGAUGGAUGUUCAGGAAACACCAGAGCUUCAUUCUGUGGAAUUCAUGUGCAACUGUAUAAUUGAAUGUCCUCUAUGUAUUCCCAGUUAUCAGUAAAACAGAUUUACAAACUGCAUUUGCUGAGAAAAAUCCAAAAAACAGAUUAGGAGGGCAGAUCUGGAAAUUGAAAUACUGGAGCACAAGUUAGAGGUGGUGAUGGUCACAGGUGAAUUAUGUUAACUACUGGAACAUGAACUGAACUAUCUUUUAUUUGUAGGAAAUAAAGAAGAGCAAAUGAAA